rnacentral:rRNA from 1 species
AACGCUGGCGGCGUGCCUAAUACAUGCAAGUCGAACGGUCUUUCUAUGGAAGCUUGCUUCCACUGAGAAGAUAGUGGCGAACGGGUGAGUAACACGUGGGGUAACCUGCCCAUAAGAGGGGGGAUAACAUCCGGAAACGGGUGCUAAUACCGCAUAGUUUUCUUGGUCGCAUGAUCGGGAAAGGAAAGACGGCCUUUGUGCUGUCGCUUAUGGAUGGACCCGCGGCGUAUUAGUUAGUUGGUGAGGUAACGGCUCACCAAGACGAUGAUACGUAGCCGACCUGAGAGGGUGAUCGGCCACAUUGGGACUGAGACACGGCCCAAACUCCUACGGGAGGCAGCAGUAGGGAAUCUUCCGCAAUGGACGAAAGUCUGACGGAGCAACGCCGCGUGAGUGAAGAAAGGUUUUCGGAUCGUAAAACUCUGUUGUCAGAGAAGAACAAGUUGGAGAGUAACUGCUCCAGCCUUGACGGUAUCUGACCAGAAAGCCACGGCUAACUACGUGCCAGCCGCAGC